rnacentral:rRNA from 1 species
GACAGAGGGGGCAAGCGUUGCUCGGAAUUACUGGGCGUAAAGGGCGCGUAGGCGGGAUGGCAAGUCGGUCGUGAAAUCCCUCGGCUCAACUGAGGAUCGUCGAUCGAUACUGCCGUUCUUGAGGAUUGCAGAGGAGACUGGAAUUCCCGGUGUAGUGGUGAAAUGCGUAGAUAUCGGGAGGAACACCAGUGGCGAAGGCGACUACCUGGCCUGUUCUUGACGCUGAGGCGCGAAAGCUAGGGGAGCAAACGGG